rnacentral:pre_miRNA from 1 species
GUAGGAUGAGGUAGUAGAUUGUAUAGUUGUAGGUCAUAACCCAUCUUGGAGAUAACUAUACAGUCUACUGUCUUUCCCAC